rnacentral:rRNA from 1 species
GUCGGGAGUUAGGAAAUGUAUACUCGCUUAUAUCGGGGCUAUUUGACAAAGGCUCUAAAGGAAGCCACGGAUAGCUCUGUGCCAGGAGCCGCGGGAAUACAGAGGUGGUCAGCGUUGUUCGGAAUUAUUGGGCGUAAAGAGCACGUAUGUGGAUUUGUAAGUGAGACGUGAAAGCCUUCUGUGCAACGGAAGAAUUGCAUCUGAAACUACAAACCUUGAGUGUAGGAGGGGAGAGCGGAACUUCUGGC